rnacentral:tRNA from 1 species
GCCUAGCUGGCUCAGUUGGAGGAGCAUGCAGCUCUUGAUCUGUGGGUUGUGAGUUCAAGCCCCACGUUGGGUG